GGAAGGGUGGCAGAGCGGUCGAAUGCGGCGGUCUUGAAAACCGUUGAUGCGCAAGCAUCCGUGGGUUCGAAUCCCACCCCUUCCG
rnacentral:tRNA from 1 species